rnacentral:rRNA from 1 species
GACGAACGCUGGCGGCGUGCCUAAUACAUGCAAGUCGAGCGAACAGAUGAAGUGCUUGCACUUCUGACGUUAGCGGCGAACGGGUGAGUAACACGUAAGGAAUCUACCUAUAAGCGGGGGAUAACAUUCGGAAACGGGUGCUAAUACCGCAUAAUAUCUUCUUCCGCAUGGAAGAAGAUUGAAAGACGGCUCUGCUGUCACUUAUAGAUGACCUUGCGGUGCAUUAGUUAGUUGGUGGGGUAAUGGCCUACCAAGACGAUGAUGCAUAGCCGACCUGAGAGGGUGAUCGGCCACAUUGGGACUGAGACACGGCCCAAACUCCUACGGGAGGCAGCAGUAGGGAAUCUUCCGGCAAUGGGCGAAAGCCUGACGGAGCAAUGCCGCGUGAGUGAAGAAGGCCUCGGGUCGUAAAACUCUGUUAUAAGAGAAGAACAAAUUGUAGAGUAACUGCUACAGUCUUGACGGUAUCUUAUCAGAAAGACCACGGCUAACUAC